UUAUGAGUUCUAGGAAAUAUUUUGUCAUUGAGAUACUCUUAAAAUAUGCCAGUACAUGUUUUUAAAUUUAAUUUCUUAUUUAAAAUGCUGUCUGGAGAAAGAAUGUUUAGUAUUACUACUAUUCGUAUAUGAACCUUGAAUGAACAGAACAUUAUUGACAUUUCUUCAAGACUUAACAAGGAGUAGUACUCUGAUGCUACAUUAGAUUCAUUUAUAGUGACAUUUAGAUGACUCCAUGAUUUGUACUUUCUAUCUAAAAUGAAUCCACGAGAUUCUAAUCCUAUCUUCCAAGCUUUUUAAAUACUUUUGUGUCGCUAGACUUUUUCUUGUCUGGGUCAUCUCUUUCCUUACAUUUUAAAAUAUAUUUGGUGCUUUUCCAAAACUUGUGUCUGUUGAGAAUGCAAAAUUUGAUGAAAAUGUUUAUUAUUUUAUAAUUUCAACUUGCAAUUUUAUUUUAAAUUCAGGUUUCUCAAAAACGUUAGAACUCUGAAUGGACACCUAAUAUUAGCCUGGACAAGCCUGAUUGAUAUAAUUUUUUUAUUAUUUUUUUUUUGUUUUCCUAUUUUCUUUUCAGGUGAAUGACUCUUCAAUUUC